rnacentral:rRNA from 1 species
GAACGCUAGCUACAGGCUUAACACAUGCAAGUCGAGGGGAAACGACAUCGAAAGCUUGCUUUUGAUGGGCGUCGACCGGCGCACGGGUGAGUAACGCGUAUCCAACCUGCCCACCACUUGGGGAUAACCUUGCGAAAGUAAGACUAAUACCCAAUGACGUCUCUAGAAGGCAUCUGAAAGAGAUUAAAGAUUUAUCGGUGAUGGAUGGGGAUGCGUCUGAUUAGCUUGUUGGCGGGGUAACGGCCCACCAAGGCUACGAUCAGUAGGGGUUCUGAGAGGAAGGUCCCCCACAUUGGAACUGAGACACGGUCCAAACUCCUACGGGAGGCAGCAGUGAGGAAUAUUGGUCAAUGGACGAGAGUCUGAACCAGCCAAGUAGCGUGCAGGAUGACGGCCCUAUGGGUUGUAAACUGCUUUUAUAAGGGAAUAAAGUGAGUCUCGUGAGACUUUUUGCAUGUACCUUAUGAAUAAGGACCGGCUAAUUCCGUGCCAGCAGCCGCGGUAAUACGGAAGGUCCGGGCGUUAUCCGGAUUUAUUGGGUUUAAAGGGAGCGUAGGCCGGAGAUUAAGCGUGUUGUGAAAUGUAGACGCUCAACGUCUGCACUGCAGCGCGAACUGGUUUCCUUGAGUACGCACAAAGUGGGCGGAAUUCGUGGUGUAGCGGUGAAAUGCUUAGAUAUCACGAAGAACUCCGAUUGCGAAGGCAGCUCACUGGAGCGCAACUGACGCUGAAGCUCGAAAGUGCGGGUAUCGAACAGGAUUAGAUACCCUGGUAGUCCGCACGGUAAACGAUGGAUGCCCGCUGUUGGUCUGAAUAGGUCAGCGGCCAAGCGAAAGCAUUAAGCAUCCCACCUGGGGAGUACGCCGGCAACGGUGAAACUCAAAGGAAUUGACGGAAGGG